GACGAACGCUGGCGGCGUGCUUAACACAUGCAAGUCGAACGGUAAGGCCCUUCGGGGUACACGAGUGGCGAACGGGUGAGUAACACGUGGGUGAUCUGCCCUGCACUUCGGGAUAAGCCUGGGGAACUGGGUCGAAUACCGGAUAGGACCACUGACUGCAGGGGUGGUGGUGGAAAGCUUUUGCGGUGUGGGAUGGGUCCGCGGCAUAUCAGCUUGUUGGUGGGGUGAUGGCGUACAAAGGCGACGACGGGUAGCCGGCCUGAGAGGGUGACCGGCCACACUGGGACGGAGAUACGGCCCAGACUCCUACGGGAGGCAGCAGUGGGGAAUAUUGCACAAUGGGCGCAAGCCUGAUGCAGCGACGCCGCGUGAGGGAUGAUGGCCUUCGGGUUGUAAACCUCUUUCAGCACCGACGAAGCGCAAGUGACGGUAGGUGCAGAAGAAGGACCGGCCAACUACGUGCCAGCCGCCGCAGUAA
rnacentral:rRNA from 1 species